UACGUAGGGCCCAAGCGCUAUCCGGAAUCACUGGGCGUAAAGCGUGUGUAGGUGGCGGUUUAAGUGGGGUGCGAAAUCCCAGGGCUCAACCCUGUGGACUGUGCCUCAAACUGGACUGCUAGAGGUUGUCAGAGGUUAGUGGAACUUGCGGUGUAGGAGUGAAAUCCGUAGAUAUCGCAAAGAACACCAAUGGCGAAGGCAGCUAACUGGGACAUACCUGACACUGAGACACGAAAGCGUGGGGAGCGAAUGGG
rnacentral:rRNA from 1 species